GACGUAGGGCGCAAGCGUUAUCCGGAUUUAUUGGGCGUAAAGAGCUCGUAGGCGGUUUGUCGCGUCUGCUGUGAAAACCUAAGGCUCAACCUUGGGCUUGCAGUGGGUACGGGCAGACUAGAGUGCGGUAGGGGUGACUGGAAUUCCUGGUGUAGCGGUGGAAUGCGCAGAUAUCAGGAGGAACACCGAUGGCGAAGGCAAGUCACUGGGCCGCAACUGACGCUGGAGGAGCGAAAGCAUGGGGAGCGAACAGG
rnacentral:rRNA from 1 species